GGACGAACGCUGGCGGCGUGCUUAACACAUGCAAGUCGAACGGAAAGGCCCUGCUUUUGUGGGGUGCUCGAGUGGCGAACGGGUGAGUAACACGUGAGUAACCUGCCCUUGACUUUGGGAUAACUUCAGGAAACUGGGGCUAAUACCGGAUAGGAGCUCCUGCUGCAUGGUGGGGGUUGGAAAGUUUCGGCGGUUGGGGAUGGACUCGCGGCUUAUCAGCUUGUUGGUGGGGUAGUGGCUUACCAAGGCUUUGACGGGUAGCCGGCCUGAGAGGGUGACCGGCCACAUUGGGACUGAGAUACGGCCCAGACUCCUACGGGAGGCAGCAGUGGGGAAUAUUGCACAAUGGGCGGAAGCCUGAUGCAGCAACGCCGCGUGCGGGAUGACGGCCUUCGGGUUGUAAACCGCUUUCGCCUGUGACGAAGCGUGAGUGACGGUAAUGGGUAAAGAAGCACCGGCUAACUACGUGCCAGCAGCCGCGGUGAUACGUAGGGUGCGAGCGUUGUCCGGAUUUAUUGGGCGUAAAGGGCUCGUAGGUGGUUGAUCGCGUCGGAAGUGUAAUCUUGGGGCUUAACCCUGAGCGUGCUUUCGAUACGGGUUGACUUGAGGAAGGUAGGGGAGAAUGGAAUUCCUGGUGGAGCGGUGGAAUGCGCAGAUAUCAGGAGGAACACCAGUGGCGAAGGCGGUUCUCUGGGCCUUUCCUGACGCUGAGGAGCGAAAGCGUGGGGAGCGAACAGGCUUAGAUACCCUGGUAGUCCACGCUGUAAACGGUGGGUACUAGGUGUGGGGUCCAUUCCACGGGUUCCGUGCCGUAGCUAACGCUUUAAGUACCCCGCCUGGGGAGUACGGCCGCAAGGCUAAAACUCAAAGGAAUUGACGGGGCCCCGCACAAGCGGCGGAGCAUGCGGAUUAAUUCGAUGCAACGCGUAGAACCUUACCUGGGUUUGACAUGGAUCGGGAGUGCUCAGAGAUGGGUGUGCCUCUUUUGGGGUCGGUUCACAGGUGGUGCAUGGCUGUCGUCAGCUCGUGUCGUGAGAUGUUGGGUUAAGUCCCGCAACGAGCGCAACCCUUGUUCACUGUUGCCAGCACGUUAUGGUGGGGACUCAGUGGAGACCGCCGGGGUCAACUCGGAGGAAGGUGGGGAUGACGUCAAGUCAUCAUGCCCCUUAUGUCCAGGGCUUCACGCAUGCUACAAUGGCUGGCACAGAGAGUGGCGAGCCUGUGAGGGUGAGCGAAUCUCGGAAAGCCGGUCUCAGUUCGGAUUGGGGUCUGCAACUCGACCUCAUGAAGUCGGAGUCGCUAGUAAUCGCAGAUCAGCAACGCUGCGGUGAAUACGUUCCCGGGGCUUGUACACACCGCCCGUCAAGUCAUGAAAGUUGGUAACACCCGAAGCCGGUGGCCUAACCGUUGUGGGGGAGCCGUCGAAGGUGGGACUG
rnacentral:rRNA from 1 species